GUAGGUGGCAAGCGUUGUCCGGAAUUAUUGGGCGUAAAGCGCGCGCAGGCGGUUCUUUAAGUCUCAUGUGAAAGCCCACGGCUCAACCGUGGAGGGUCAUUGGAAACUGGAGAACUUGAGUACAGAAGAGGAAAGCGGAAUUCCACGUGUAGCGGUGAAAUGCGUAGAGAUGUGGAGGAACACCAGUGGCGAAGGCGGCUUUCUGGUCUGUAACUGACGCUGAGGCGCGAAAGCGUGGGGAGCAAACAGGAUUAGAUACCCUGGUAGUCCACGCCGUAAACGAUGAGUGCUAAGUGUUAGGGGGUUUCCGCCCCCCUUAGUGCUGCAGCUAACGCAUUAAGCACUCCGCCUGGGAGUACGGCCGCAAGGCCG
rnacentral:rRNA from 1 species